rnacentral:rRNA from 1 species
AUUGAACGCUGGCGGCAUGCCUAACACAUGCACGUCGAGCGGAGCGGCGGACGGGUGAGUACUGCCUAGGAAUCUGCCUGGUAGUGGGGGCUCACGUCCGGAAACGGGCGCUCAUACCGCAUACUCUCAGAUGAGCCUAGGUGGGAUUAGCUAGUUGGUGGGGUAAAGGCCUACCAUGGCGACGAUCAGUACCUGGUCUGAGAGGAUGAUCAGUCACACUGGAACAGAGACACGGUACAGACUCGUACGGGAGGCAGCAGUGGGGAAGAUGGGACAAGGGGCGAAAGCCUGAUCGAGCCAUGCCGCGUGUGUGAAGAAGGUUUUCGGAUUGUAAAGCACUUUAAGUUGGGAGGCGUUACCAACAGAAUAAGCACCGGCUAACUUCGUGCCAGCAGCCGCGGUAAUUC